rnacentral:rRNA from 1 species
CAAGCGGUGGAGCAUGUGUUUUAAUUCGAUGAUACGCGAGGAACCUUUCCAAGGCUUAAAUGGGGAUUGACCGAUUUGGAAACAGAUCUUUCGCAAGACAAAUUACAAGGUGCUGCAUGGUUGUCGUCAAGCUCGUGCCGUGAGGUGUCAGGUUAAGUCCUAUAACGAGCGCAACCCCUGUCGUUAGUUGCCAGCGAGUCAUGUCGGGAACUCUAAACGAGACUGCCAGUGUAAACUGUGAGGAAGGUGGGGAUGACGUCAAAUCAUCACGGCCCUUACGCCUUGGGCCACACACGUGCUACAAUGGCCAGUACAGAGAGCAGCCACUUAGUGAUAAGGAGCGAAUCUUCAAAACUGGUCUCAGUUCGGAUCGGAGUCUGCAACUUGACUCCGUGAAGCUGGAAUCGCUAGUAAUCGGAUAUCAGCCAUGAUCCGGUGAAUAGUUCCCGGGCCUUGUACACACCGCC